rnacentral:lncRNA from 1 species
GCUGGGCCGGCCUCGGGCCUGGCCCUGGGCCUGGCCGGGUUGCCCCGUCCGUGGGUGCCCCGUGCGCCCGCCCGCGCGUUGUGCCGAGGCCCCCACAGCCCUCCCUAUGCAGCGCUGUUUCCCUUCCCGUGUGCUGCGUUGCUUCUCCCUCCGCCCUGAACAGGCCUGUGCUGUCGCUGCCCAGCUCCUUCUCUGCUCUCACACCAGUGCCUCGUGUCCUGUGCCUCUGAACAGCCCCGUCCAGCAGACUGAUCACUGCCCUGCAAGCUAAUGUGAAGUUGCUCUUAGGAACAAGUGAAGAGCGAGGGUGCCAAGGCAGACUGAACAGGCUGGGGACUGCAAUUUCUAAGGAAUGAAAGAGAAGGAGAAAGGGGCAUCACGUGGCAGAGGAUGAACAGGUACAGUUUCCGCCUCAACAAAAUCAAACCUGCUCAGGAGGAACUACGGCUACGUGGUCUCCAUCAACUGCUGGUGUUCAAUCUCCAUGAACGGUUUUGUCAGUGGACUUGAAUGAGACUGCAGAGAAAUAUCAAGCUGGUUACUUCUGUUUCAUGGCUGUGUGUUAUUUCAAAGAUAUGGCACACUGAUUUCAAAAGCAUUUGCUGGAAUGCUUCUAUUGAAAGCAUAGGAAGAGAGAAGAAAGAGUGGAUCUCAAACCAUAAAGAGUUAAAUCAAAUCUUGCUGUUAACAAUUUUCCUUGGUUUCUUCUCCCUAGUUAUGUGAAGUUCUUUAUUUAAAAAAUCCUUUUCUUGACACUCUUUCAUGGUAUGAG